rnacentral:rRNA from 1 species
ACUCCUACGGGAGGCAGCAGUGGGGAAUAUUGCACACUGGGCGCAAGCCUGAUGCAGCCAUGCCGCGUGUAUGAAGAAGGCCUUCGGGUUGUAAAGUACUUUCAGCGGGGAGGAAGGCGAUAAGGUUAAUAACCUUGUUGAUUGACGUUACCCGCAGAAGAAGCACCGGCUAACUCCGUGCCAGCAGCCGCGGUAAUACGGAGGGUGCAAGCGUUAAUCGGAAUUACUGGGCGUAAAGCGCACGCAGGCGGUCUGUCAAGUCGGAUGUGAAAUCCCCGGGCUCAACCUGGGAACUGCAUUCGAAACUGGCAGGCUAGAGUCUUGUAGAGGGGGGUAGAAUUCCAGGUGUAGCGGUGAAAUGCGUAGAGAUCUGGAGGAAUACCGGUGGCGAAGGCGGCCCCCUGGACAAAGACUGACGCUCAGGUGCGAAAGCGUGGGGAGCAAACAGGAUUAGAAACCCUAGUAGUCCC